rnacentral:rRNA from 1 species
GCCUAGGAACCUUUUUCUUUUGAUAAAGAAAGUAAGGCUUUUAAUUAUUCAGUAAAUAGUUUGACAGAUUUGCAAAAUGUUAUAAUUCCUCACUUUAUGAAUUAUCCACUGUUGACACAAAAAAAAGAAAGAAGAGCAGCUGAUUUUAAAUUAUUUGUGCAAAUUGUUCAAUUAAUCCGGGGGACAAAGGUGCUCAUCUUAAUCAGGCUGGUUUACAACAGAUAGUUAAUAUUAAAGCUUCUAUGAAUAAAGGUAAUUCUGAUUUUGUUAAAUCUAAGUUUCCUCUAAUUAUCCCUGUAGAAUUAGGUAGAGAAACCAUUGAAACUACAAAUAUUUCAGAUCCACAUUGGAUCUCAGCAUUUGUUAGUGGUGAAGGUAAUUUCGAUGCAGGGUAUUAGAAAAGCUACUAAUACUCGAAAAGAAAGAAUUUAUUUAAGAUUUAGAUUAUCACAACAUGAGAGAGAUCUCAAAUUAAUGGGAACUAAUAAUUAAAUAUUUAGGAACAGGAAGAAUCGAGUAUGAUAACAGAAUAAUGCUGUUGUAGUUAUAGUAGUAGGAAACUUUGCAGAUAUAAAUAACAAAAUAAUUCCUUUCUUUAAUCAGUAUCCUGUAUUAGGUGUAAAGAACUUAGAUUAUUUAGAUUUUGCAAAAAUUGCUAAUAUGAUGAGUUUAGGUAAACAUAAAACACAAGAAGGAUUUGAGGAAAUAAAAGCAAUAGAAUCUGGAAUGAAUAAAGGUAGAAAGUAGAUAAAAUUAAAAAAUUGUAUGAAAAAUUUGAUGAUCCGUGGGUGCCAGAAGACUCGGUAAGGCCAGAAGCGCGAGCGUAAGUCAUCUUGAAAAGGCGUAAAGUGUGUGUAGGCAGCUUUGAAAAUCUCUUAACAGGGAAAAACUCAAAGAUUGAAUCAAAUAGAGGUCACAGUCCAGAUAAUUUUGUAAGGAAGGAUACAAUAUGCAGAUUUACAAAGGAAUACUAAUUAGCGAAUGCUCUUUUCCAACUAAUGAUUGACGCUGAGACACGAAGGUGAGGAUCGAAAAUAGAAUUUGGUACUCUGGUAUCCCUCUCUGUAAACGAUGAAUGGUAGUUGCUAGUUUAAGUAUUAGUGGCGAUGCUAACGCGUUAACCAUUCCGCCUUGUGAGUACGGCCGCAAGGUUGAA